UGGGGAAUUUUGGACAAUGGGCGAAAGCCUGAUCCAGCAAUGCCGCGUGUGUGAAGAAGGCCUUCGGGUUGUAAAGCACUUUUGUCCGGAAAGAAAUCCUUGGCUCUAAUACAGUCGGGGGAUGACGGUACCGGAAGAAUAAGCACCGGCUAACUACGUGCCAGCAGCCGCGGUAAUACGUAGGGUGCAAGCGUUAAUCGGAAUUACUGGGCGUAAAGCGUGCGCAGGCGGUUUGCUAAGACCGAUGUGAAAUCCCCGGGCUCAACCUGGGAACUGCAUUGGGUGACUGGCAGGCUAGAGUAUGGCAGAGGGGGGUAGAAUUCCACGUGUAGCAGUGAAAUGCGUAGAGAUGUGGAGGAAUACCGAUGGCGAAGGCAGCCCCCUGGGCCAAUACUGACGCUCAUGCACGAAAGCGUGGGGAGCAAACAGGAUUAGAUACCCUGGUAGUCCACGCCCUAAACGAUGUCAACUAGUUGUUGGGGAUUCAUUUCCUAGUAACGUAGCUAACGCGUGAAGUUGACCGCCUGGGGAGUACGGUCGCAAGAUUAAAACUCAAAUGAAUUGACGGGGUCAUAGCUG
rnacentral:rRNA from 1 species